UCAUGGUGAUGUAUACAUCUGUCUUACAAUGCCUCUUGAUCUGCUCAGGGUCAAACUCCUGGAAAGAGUUGAGAGCGGAGCAACUUGUUCCUUGUUCCUGUAUACUCCUGGAAAGCCUCCAGAGUUGAAAGGUACCAUUGCCAGUUACCUGCUUGUUUGCUCAAAGGUCCAGCUCCUUGUCUGGAGCCUGAGAAUGAAUUGAGGUAAAUCUGUCAUCUGUGGCUACUAUAUAGAAUUUGCCAGGGUUUUUUGUGGCACUUUGGAUAGCUGUGCAGACAUUACUUGUUUAAUCCAAAGUUUGUCUUUGGCCAUUUGUGAACCACCUGUGACAGACAGAUUUCCACUCACCAGUGAUGAGUUCAGUACCGCCCCAGUCUGAUCACUGUGACUGAAAGGUAUUUUCUGAGCUGUGAGUUUGCCUUGGAGUGAAAGGUGACAAUAGUGGGAAGUUGGGUGGGCUUUAUAGCCAACAGGAAGCUUUGUGGACUAGGUGGUGGUUUCUAUUAAAAUGUCUGUUGAGACCUACAUAGAUGUGCCUUUCGUCUGGGGGUGGUUCAGAGACUUAGUUGCCAAUCAUUCUUUUGCAGGGGAAAGGAGUAAGCCAUAUUUCUGUUCAACUCCAGUCUGAAGUUAAGAGGUCUGAAGAAAGAACAAAGCACUCAUAAUGGUUCAACUCUCGAAGGAUAUCAAAAAUGGAAUUUUCUUAUACAAUCUACCUGUUCAAAUUAGCAUACAAUCAUUUUAGCCUUUCUAAAUAAAACUUUUUGUCUUUUUAAACCUU